rnacentral:rRNA from 1 species
UACGAAGGGGGCUAGCGUUGCUCGGAAUCACUGGGCGUAAAGCGCACGUAGGCGGAUUGCUAAGUCAGGGGUGAAAUCCUGGAGCUCAACUCCAGAACUGCCCUUGAUACUGGCGGUCUCGAGUCCGGGAGAGGUGAGAGGAACUGCGAGUGUAGAGGUGAAAUUCGUAGAUAUUCGCAAGAACACCAGUGGCGAAGGCGGCUCACUGGCCCGAUACUGACGCUGAGGCACGAAAGCGUGGGGAGCAAACAGG